rnacentral:rRNA from 1 species
UACGAAGGGGGCUAGCGUUGCUCGGAAUUACUGGGCGUAAAGCGCACGUAGGCGGCUUUCUAAGUCGGGGGUGAAAUCCUGGAGCUCAACUCCAGAACUGACUUCGAUACUGGAGAGCUUGAGUCCGGGAGAGGUGAGUGGAACUGCGAGUGUAGAGGUGAAAUUCGUAGAUAUUCGCAAGAACACCAGUGGCGAAGGCGGCUCACUGGCCCGGUACUGACGCUGAGGUGCGAAAGCGUGGGGAGCAAACAGG